CUGAGUUAAUGAUGCCAGCAGUCUCUGAACUAGCCAAAUUGUGGUGGAUUUAUUAUUUACAUUACAACUCCAUUUAAAAAUGAAAACAUAUGCCCACAUGUUCAGUGCUUCACAAAUACACGCUGUAGAAUUUUAUAUCCAGUAACAGAUGCAAUUUCCCUAUCAAAUAUAAUUUCUGUUUGUCUUCUGAACUCUGUAUUGUUGUGGAAAUUCCAGUUUAUCAGCUGCACUGGAGCCGAAUGAAGCUUCCAAGAUGACAGAGAACAGGAGGUUGCGAUGACUACUGUUGAGACCAUUGUCAAGGGAAAGUCCUUUUCUUUUGAAGACCACUUGGAUGCUGACAUUUGCUGGAAGUGCCUAGAUUACUGCGAAGGCUUGGCUGGGUUUAUGGUUGACAAAACAUCUUUUGGUGACAUCAGAAGGGACCUACUGGUGUCCGCGUGGGCAGAAGAGA
rnacentral:lncRNA from 1 species